rnacentral:rRNA from 1 species
CAGGUUGACCUCGGAUCAGGUAGG